rnacentral:lncRNA from 1 species
AUACUAACCUUUUAUUAUUUAGCCAUACAGACACUCCUUUAGAUUGGAAAAGGAAAAAUAGUGGAAGGCUAGAAAGAAUACCAGUCUUUCCAAGAAUAUGGACUAUAUUAGAGCUCCUUGAAAAGCGAAGACACUAAGCUUCCAUAAGUGGGACUAAAUUUGAAAUGGCCAACGAAAGAGACAAGAUGUUGAAACCCUCAAGGGUGCUAUCAUUGACAAUUUUAGAUGUGUGAUUUAG